UUCCAGGAUUCUCCCAAAGAGCUUGGCUGCCUCCAGGGCACAUCCCCAGUGGAUGGUGAGCCCGUAGCCUCCAUGGCCAUAGUUGUGGAUGACCUAGGAGAGGCAAGAGAGAAGGUGGCCAGGUCCGAGAGGGACAGUGGAAAGAAUAGAUGAAGCUCUUCUGCCCUGGAAGACUCAGGAGCCUCCCGAAGAGUCCUGGGCAAAGCCAGAUGCCACCUGAGCUUCUCUUGGCACCGGGGUGGAAUGGUGGGGACCCCCUGGAACAGUUGCAAGAGAUGAUGGGGCAGCCACAAAAUGGAUAUCUGGAAAUAGCCUUGGAGUCAAAUUCAAAUCACAUCCCAGCCCUGCCUUCCACCAGUGGUCUGACUUGGGCAAGUGACUUCACCUCUUAAUUCACCCCAGUUUCCUCAUCCGAAGCAUAGGGAGAACUGUCCCUAUCCCAAAGAGCUCCAGAGGAGAUUUAAUAAGGUCAUUCAUGUAAUGGACUUGCUGCUGUGUCUGACACGAAGUACACAUCCAACAUUUGCAGAAGACACGUUGGAACCCCAGCUCUGUCUACAGAUGAGAUGAUCUCAUCUCAAGCACGCAUCGUGAGCCCCUAAGCUCCCCAACCCAGCCCCAGUGACUCUCACCACGAGUAAGUUAAGGGACACACACAUUGCAAGACGCUACUAUUGUUCCUGAGUGAAUGACUGAGAAUGAGGACUGCAUUGGGUCGACCAUGUAUCUUCGGUGUCCAUCAGGGCCUGACCAGAGCAGGUUAGUCUUCAUGACAUAGCACUAGUAGCUACAUGUACGGAGCGCCUUCCUUGUGCCAAGCAGGGUUUUAGAUGCUGGGAUUGAAUGAAGCCAUACAGUAAAGCUCUUUUUGCUGGUGCCUGGA